rnacentral:rRNA from 1 species
UACGGGGGGGGCAAGCGUUGUUCGGAAUUACUGGGCGUAAAGGGCUCGUAGGCGGCCAACUAAGUCAGACGUGAAAUCCCCAGGCUUAACCUGGGAACUGCGUCUGAUACUGGAUGGCUUGAAUUCGGGAGAGGGAUGCAGAAUUCCAGGUGUAGCGGUGAAAUGCGUAGAGAUCCGGAGGAAUACCAGUGGCGCAAGCGGCGCUCUGGGUCACAUCUGACACUGAGACGCGAAGGCAUGGGGAGCGAACGGG